rnacentral:rRNA from 1 species
UACGGGGGGAGCAAGCGUUGUUCGGAUUUACUGGGCGUAAAGGGCGCGUAGGCGGUCAGCACAAGUCAGUUGUGAAAUCUCCGGGCUUAACUCGGAAAGGUCAACUGAUACUGUGCGACUAGAGUGCAGAAGGGGCAACUGGAAUUCUCGGUGUAGCGGUGAAAUGCGUAGAUAUCGAGAGGAACACCUGCGGCGAAGGCGGGUUGCUGGGCUGACACUGACGCUGAGGCGCGAAAGCCAGGGAGCGAACGGG